rnacentral:rRNA from 1 species
UGCUACCUUGUUACGACUUAGCCCCAGUUACCAGUUUUACCCUAGGCCGCUCCUUGCGGUGACAGACUUCAGGUACCCCCGGCUUCCAUGGCUUGACGGGCGGUGUGUACAAGGCCCGGGAACGUAUUCACCGCAUCAUGGCUGAUAUGCGAUUACUAGCGAAUCCACCUUCACGGAGUCGAGUUGCAGACUCCGAUCCGAACUGAGACCGGCUUUCGAGAUUUGCAUCAUAUCACUAUGUAGCUGCCCUCUGUACCGGCCAUUGUAACACGUGUGUAGCCCUGGACGUAAGGGCCGUGCUGAUUUGACGUCAUCCCCACCUUCCUCGCGGUUUACACCGGCAGUCUCGCUAGAGUCCUCAGCAUUACCUGCUAGCAACUAACGAUAGGGGUUGCGCUCGUUAUGGGACUUAACCCGACACCUCACGGCACGAGCUGACGACAACCAUGCAGCACCUUGUAAAUUGUCCGAAGAAAGAAUGGUUUCCCAUUCAAGCAAUCUACAUUUAAGCCCAGGUAAGGUUCCUCGCGUAUCAUCGAAUUAAACCACAUGUUCCUCCGCUUGUGCGGGCCCCCGUCAAUUCCUUUGAGUUUCAAUCUUGCG